AUCCUUCUUUAGUUCAUAAGCAUGAUGAUUGGUUUUUCAUGUACAUGUGUGAGAUGUGCCUCCCUCAAAACUUGUUACAACAUUGGCACAUUACCCGUCUGACA
ensembl:snoRNA